AUUGUACUAUAUUAUAUAAGCAGUUGGAUACUUUAGUACAAAAGAUAAAGAAUCACAUCUCAAAUACGGUUUUACAAGAAUGUCUGAAGUGAUAGAGAUCAAACUAUAGCAUGAAUUCUUCUAUGCUGGCAUCUCAUAAAAUAGCUGGGUUGAUUAACUUUGAAAGUUUUCAGAAGACUGAUGAAUCUCCAGAGUAAAGUUUUCCUCAAAUGGCUAUUCUUUGAGGAGAGCUACACGUACUCAUCAGUUCUAAAAGAAAUGUAAGUUACAUUUCCACAUUCAUAUAAUCAUAGAAUAGAAUCAUAGAAUCAUAGAAUCAAGGAAUCACUCAGGUUGGAAAAGACCUUGAAGAUCAUUGAGUCCAACCAUGACCUAACCAUGCUACCCUAACUCUAACAACCCUCACUAAAUCAUGUCUCUGAGCACUACAUCCAAACGGUUUUUAAACACAGCAAAAAACAUUUUUUAAGCAGAAAAAAAUUUGAAACUACCUGCAUCACAAAAAAAAAAAAAAAGAAAGAAAGAAAAUCACCACCAACAAAAAAAAGGUGUUCCAAAUAAUUUGUCUUCUAAUUUUUAUUCUACAGUAAGAAAACAGGGAAUUUUAGGCAAUGUUAAAUAAAAGUCUAGCUCAUAUGUCUUAAGAUAGUUCAGUGCUUUGUCACAAAGCUGGAUAGAAUGCAAUAUAGGAAUGCAUGGAUAUGAGGGUUGCAGGAAAAACACCAAAUAGGAAAAUGAUGAUUGUCUGCAGCUAGAGAGAUUGUGAGAGUUAGAGAGAUACACUAUUUACACUUUAGUUGGGCUAAUUUCUGCUUUAUUGUAGCUCUUGUCAGGCUGUGAUUCAUGGGCCACAGGUCUUCAAGAUAUCAGAAGGGCAUACUGGAGUAAAAGAUGUACACAUGCAUUUCCACAUACAAAUCUAAACUGUCAAAGAAGAAAUUGAAUAUAGGGAAGAAGAGGCCCAAACUCUACAGAUUAACCACAAAUUUAAUAAAGAAGAAAUGGAGUAUUAAAGGAGUUAAUGAAAUGUUGUGGAAGGAAAGCGACAUAGUCAGAUCUGUUGGAAGUUUCACUUUGUUUCCUAAAGUUUUCUGAUGCUAACAGACAUGUAAUUUGAAGCUGUUAAAGGGAAUCAUUUUAAAUAACUUGAAGCUUCUAAGACUAAAUGUUGUUUGAAGCACGUUAAAUUAAUCCCAAUUAAAGGACUUCCAUGAGUUUCUAAACUAUGUUUUCUUUGGUCAAGGUCCAAAACUCAGAGGCAUGGGCAAUUCUUUUUUACUUAAAAAUAAACAACCAGACUGUCUUGGAUGUGAAGCGUCU
rnacentral:lncRNA from 1 species